UACGAAGGGGGCUAGCGUUGCUCGGAAUCACUGGGCGUAAAGGGUGCGUAGGCGGGUCUUUAAGUCAGGGGUGAAAUCCUGGAGCUCAACUCCAGAACUGCCUUUGAUACUGAGGAUCUUGAGUUCGGGAGAGGUGAGUGGAACUGCGAGCGUAGAGGUGAAAUUCGUAGAUAUUCGCAAGAACACCAGUGGCGAAGGCGGCUCACUGGCCCGGUACUGACGCUGAGGUGCGAAAGCGUGGGGAGCAAGCAGG
rnacentral:rRNA from 1 species